CCUACGGGUGGCUGCAGUGGGGAAUAUUGGACAAUGGGGGGAACCCUGAUCCAGCCAUGCCGCGUGUGUGAAGAAGGCCCUCGGGUUGUAAAGCACUUUCAGUGAGGAAGAACGCCUGGUGGUUAAUACCCAUCAGGAAAGACAUCACUCACAGAAGAAGCACCGGCUAACUCCGUGCCAGCAGCCGCGGUAAUACGGAGGGUGCGAGCGUUAAUCGGAAUUACUGGGCGUAAAGCGCGCGUAGGUGGCUUGAUAAGCCGGUUGUGAAAGCCCCGGGCUCAACCUGGGAACGGCAUCCGGAACUGUCAAGCUAGAGUGCAGGAGAGGAAGGUAGAAUUCCCGGUGUAGCGGUGAAAUGCGUAGAGAUCGGGAGGAAUACCAGUGGCGAAGGCGGCCUUCUGGACUGACACUGACACUGAGGUGCGAAAGCGUGGGUAGCAAACAGGAUUAGAACCCCUGUAGUC
rnacentral:rRNA from 1 species